UGCACUGACAGGCAUCUUCAUUAGCACUUUAUUCUACAUUUACAGGAAUUUCAAUCGAAGCAAAAUCCUGCGUUUUGAUGCAAGCAAAUUGCAAUUUCUCAUUUUUGACUCCAGCAAAACAAUAGCCUUGCAUCAUUUUGAGACAUUUGUUUUUCAUAAUCCAACUUUUUAAAAGUCAAGAAAUGAGAUGUAUGCUACAAAAAAUGCUUUUCACCAUGAUACAUAUAAAUAAGAUUUUACAAAAUAGUAAACACUCGUAAAGGAACAAAUUUCAAGAUACUUGAGUAUAUUGACCCCAAUCAUUUUCAUUUUGACCCCUGAAAUUUUGAAGCCUUGGGUCAUGUUGAGUGCUGGUUUUUUUUAAAUCUGUGAAAUCCCUGAAUUAUGGAGGCUUUUACCAUAUUCUUAUAUGGAUGUAAUUUAAAAAUUUCGGUAGAGGUUCACUAGAAAAUGUUUCAUGUCAAAUAUCUAUACUCAAGGUCUUUCACGGUUUUGAAGAAGACAUGUUUGAAGUGUUUACCAUAUACAUAUAUGGAAAAUGCAUUGGCCACCCCCAGGGCUGGACUAAUUUAUAAUUCGGGGCUUUUAUUUCAACAAUCUUCAUAGUGGUCUACUUGACAAAGUUUCGAGCCAAAAAUUUAUGCUCUUGACCUUGUGGUUUCAGAGAUAUCUUUUUUUCUUUAAACAUAUACGGAAAUUUUUACCCCUGAGCGGAGCUAAAUUUGACCCCAGUGGCAUAACAUUUGAACAAACAUGGUGGAGGUCUGCUAGACGAUGUUUGAUGGCAAAAUAUAAUUAAGUGGUUUUGGAGAUUCUUUUAGUUUUUACUUUAAACAAGUAAGUUUAAUACAUCAUUCCUUAGGGUGUGGCUUAUUUUGACCACUGUGCAUAAUUUGAACAACCUUGGUAGAGUUCCACUAGAAAUGUGCUCUUUACCAUUAUACUCUUGCCAAAUAUCUAUGCUCUAGACCUUGUGGUUUGAAUAAGCUUCAUACAUGUACCAGGAAUGUUCCUGUCUAGUUUUACCAAAUUGGCCUAAACGGUUUACGAGAUAAUGUGGGUAAAAUAAUUAUUGUUAUAACUUGAGAUUUGAAGCUUUUAAACCAUACUCUUCAACUACAUCUGACUAAAGAAAAAAAGGCCUGUAAAACAAAAACUUUUUUGUCAGUCUUCCUUGUACAUGUCUGUGGAAACAAUCCACUUAUGGUAUUGUUUUGAAUUGGAUAUGUUUGGUGAAAAAAGUUCACUUCCAGUGCAAGCUGUUGUGAUAUAUCUGUGUCCUUUUUAUACGCCCGUAUAAAAUACGGGACGUAUUAUGUGAAACCCCUUGGCGGCGGGCGGCGGGCGGAAGGCAUCACUUUGUCCGGACUCUAAUUCAAAUUGUAUUCAUCCGAUCUUCACCAAACUUGGUCAGCAGUUGCAUCUAGUUGAUAUCUAGGCCAAGUUCGAAUAUGGGUCAUGCCGGGUCAAAAACUAGGUCAUAGGGUCAAUAAGUGCAUUUUCAACGGCGCCACUUUGUCCGGACUCUAAUUCAAAUUGUAUUCAUCCGAUCUUCACCAAACUUGGUCAGCAGUUGCAUCUAGUUGAUAUCUAGGCCAAGUUCGAAUAUGGGUCAUGCCGGGUCAAAAACUAGGUCAUAGGGUCAAUUAGUGCAUUUUCAACGGCGCCACUUUGUCCGGACUCUAAUUCAAAUUGUAUUCAUCCGAUCUUCACCAAACUUGGUCAGUAGUUGCAUCUAGUUGAUAUCUAGGUCAAGUCCGAAUAUGGGUCAUGCUGGGUCAAAAACUAGGUCAAAGGGUCAAUUAGUGCAUUUUACUUUGUCCGGACUCUAAUUCAAAUUGUAUUCAUCCGAUCUUCACCAAACUUGGUCAGCAGUUGCAUCUAGUUGAUAUCUAGGCCAAGUUCGAAUAUGGGUUAUGCCGGGUCAAAAACUAGGUCACAGGGUCACUUAGUGCAUUUCAAGCAUUAAGCAUGGUGUCCGCUCUCUAAUUGAAUUAGUUUUUUUCCAAUCUUCACCAAACUUGGUCAGAAGUUGUAUCUGGACAAUGUCUAGGUCAAGUUCGAAUAUGGGUCAUGCCGGGUCAAAAACUAGGUAACGGGGUCACUUAGUGCAUUUCAAGCAUUUAGCAUGGUGUCGGCUCUCUAAUUGAAGUAGUUUUCAUCCGAUCUUCACCACAUUUGGUCAGAAGUUGUGUCUAGACAAUAUCUAGGUCAAGUUCAAAUAUGGGUCAUGUCGGGUCAAAAACUAGAUCACGAGGUCACUUAGUGCAUUUCAAGCAUUAAGCAUGGUGUCCGCUCUCUAAUUGAAGUAGUUUUCAUCUGAUCUUCACCAAAUUUGGUCAGAAGUUGUGUCUAGAUGAUAUGUAGGUCAAGUUCAAAUAUGGGUCAUGGUAAAGUUAUCAAGUUGUCCAAAACCUUCAAACGGGCGUAUCUUGUGACAGUUUGGCACUCUUGUUAUCAAUGAUUUGCCUUUUUUCUACAAAUCUCAGAAACACAGGUUAAGUUGAUGCUUGCUGCAAUGCUCCUUGCAUGACAAUAGACAAAUGAAUGCUUCAUGUUAAUAGUUGCAUACUUUUUGUACUUUGUCAUUCGAACAAAAAAUAUUAAUUAUAAUUUUCUGCCAUCUUUGGUAAUUUGUGCCAAUCAUAUAUCUUUUUAGCUCACCUGAUUGGUCAGAUGAGCUUUUGUGACCGGUCUUCGUCUGUCUUGCGUCUGUCCGUCGUCCACAUUUGGUUUGUAAACACUAUAGGUCACAUUUCAUGUUGGAUCUUCAUGAAACUUGGUCAGAAGAUUUGUCUUAAUGAUAUCUCGAUCAAGUUCGAAACUGGGUCAUGCUAGGUCAAAAACUAGGUCA